rnacentral:rRNA from 1 species
UACGUAGGGUGCGAGCGUUGUCCGGAAUUAUUGGGCGUAAAGGGCUCGUAGGCGGUUUGUCACGUCGGGAGUGAAAACUCAGGGCUCAACCCUGAGCGUGCUUCCGAUACGGGCAUCACUGGAGUUCGGCAGGGGAGACUGGAAUUCCUGGUGUAGCGGUGAAAUGCGCAGAUAUCAGGAGGAACACCGGUGGCGAAGGCGGGUCUCUGGGCCGAUACUGACGCUGAGGAGCGAAAGCGUGGGGAGCAAACAGG